rnacentral:rRNA from 1 species
AUUGAACGCUGGCGGCAGGCCUAACACAUGCAAGUCGAGCGUGAAAGGGCUUCGGCCUGAGUAAAGCGGCGGACGGGUGAGUAACGCGUAGGAAUCUACCUGGUAGUGGGGGAUAACGUUCCGAAAGGGACGCUAAUACCGCAUACGUUCUACGGAAGAAAGCGGGGGCUCGCAAGACCUCGCGCUAUCAGAUGAGCCUGCGUCCGAUUAGCUAGUUGGUAGGGUAAAGGCCUACCAAGGCGACGAUCGGUAACUGGUCUGAGAGGAUGAUCAGUCACACUGGAACUGAGACACGGUCCAGACUCCUACGGGAGGCAGCAGUGGGGAAUAUUGGACAAUGGGGGCAACCCUGAUCCAGCCAUGCCGCGUGCAGGAAGAAGGCCUUCGGGUUGUAAACUGCUUUUGUACGGAGCGAAAAGGUCCUUUCUAAUACAAGGGGCUCAUGACGGUACCGUAAGAAUAAGCACCGGCUAACUACGUGCCAGCCGCCGCAGUAA